CCUACGGGGAGCAGCAGUGGGGGAUAUUGCACAAUGGGGGGAACCCUGAUGCAGCGACGCCGCGUGGGUGAAGAAGCGCCUCGGCGCGUACAGCCCUGUCAGCAGGGAAGAAAAUGACGGUACCUGAAGAAGAAGCCCCGGCUAACUACGUGCCAGCAGCCGCGGUAAUACGUAGGGGGCAAGCGUUAUCCGGAUUUACUGGGUGGAAAGGGGGCGCAGACGGCGAUGCAAGCCAGGAGUGAAAGCCCGGGGCCCAACCCCGGGACUGCUCUUGGAACUGCGUGGCUGGAGUGCAGGAGGGGCAGGCGGAAUUCCUGGUGUAGCGGUGAAAUGCGUAGAUAUCAGGAGGAACACCGGUGGCGAAGGCGGCCUGCUGGACUGCAACUGACGUUGAGGCCCGAAAGCGUGGGGAGCAAACAGGAUUAGAUACCCUUGUAGUC
rnacentral:rRNA from 1 species